rnacentral:piRNA from 10 species
GCGUUGGUGGUAUAGUGGUGAGCAUA